rnacentral:rRNA from 1 species
CAAUAGCGUAUAUUAAAGUUGUUGCAGUUAAAAAGCUCGUAGUUGGAUUUCUGGUGGGAGCGAUCGGUCUGGCGCUUAGCGCGAGUACUUGCAUCGUCUCCGGCCAUCCUUGGGGAGAGUCUGUCUGGCAUUAAGUUGUCGGGCAGAGGAUCCUCAUCGUUUACUGUGAAAAAAUUAGAGUGUUCAAAGCAGGCUUAUGCCGUUGAAUAUAUUAACAUGGAAUAAUAAGAUAGGACUUUGGUACUAUUUUGUUGGUUUGCGCACCAAAGUAAUGAUUAAUAGGGACAGUUGGGGGUAUUCGUAUUCCGUUGUCAGAGGUGAAAUUCUUGGAUUUACGGAAGACGAACUACUGCGAAAGCAUUUACCAAGGAUGUUUUCAUUAA